rnacentral:rRNA from 1 species
GACGAACGCUGGCGGCGUGCUUAAUACAUGCAAGUCGAGCGAGGCCCUCUCCUUCGGGAGAGAUGUCCUAGCGGCGAACGGGUGAGUAACACGUGGGCAACCUGCCCCUAGCACUGGGAUAACCCCGGGAAACCGGGGCUAAUACCGGAUAUGACCGCGCAAGGCAUCUUGCGCGGUGUAAAGGAUUCUGGCUAGGGAUGGGCCCGCGGCCUAUCAGCUUGUUGGUGGGGUAAAGGCCUACCAAGGCGACGACGGGUAGCCGGCCUGAGAGGGCGACCGGCCACACUGGGACUGAGACACGGCCCAGACUCCUACGGGAGGCAGCAGUAGGGAAUAUUGCACAAUGGGCGAAAGCCUGAUGCAGCGACGCCGCGUGAGGGAUGAAGGUCUUCGGAUUGUAAACCUCUUUCAGCUCCGACGAAGCGAAAGUGACGGUAGGAGCAGAAGAAGCACCGGCCAACUACGUGCCAGCAGCCGCCGUA